AAGUUCAUUUUGACUCUUGCAGGUAAUAGUAAUAAUUCUGUUCCCAUGACUCCAACUUCCACCUCUUCUAACUCAGACGAUUGCAGCAAAAAUACUUCCCCUCCAACACAACCAACAGCCUCAGGGGUAAGUGUUAAAACAGAAUAGACUCCUUCAACUUCGUGGGUUGCUCUCUAGUAAAUUAUCUCAAACUUUAUCUUAUCUGGCAGUACAAUAACCUAAACCAACAGUUUAGUUAGUUGAUACCUAAGAAUAGUUUUUAGAGGAAGUUACAUUUAAAUGUCAACAAAAUGACAAACUUAAGUACUUUACAAACCUCUUAAUUAAGAUCUCUAUCAUUUUUUUUUAUGGUUAAAUUAACCCAAAGAAAAGAACUUUUGAAGAGCUUUAAACUGUUUUAUUUCUAGGGUUUUUUUUUUUUUUCUAAUCAGAGUUGCUUCGCUCGCUAUGUGUAUUUCUAAUAUAGAUCAGGAAAAUUGCCAGGCCUGUGGUUCCACAGGUCCUGGGCCCAUGACAUUGAAGUUGCUUUUGCUUAUGUCAACUCUGGCUGUCUUUCUUUUUGUUUCUACCCAAAGUGAAACUCUUCUUAAUGUGUUCUGGGCUUCUGCAUUCACGGAUCUUACUUCCCCCAACCUUCUUGCUGGGAGACCUUUCUGCCUUCAUUGUACACAGGCCUAAUUCAGUCACCGGCGGCAGCAGCAGCGGUGGGGGCUGCCUGGGACAGGAGAUCAAGGGGUCUUUGUGAAUAUCACAGAGUUAGUUUCUGUGGAGCUAUGAUCAAAAUUGCCGUCCAUAAGUAAAGAGCAUUGUCCUACCUUAAUGUUUCCCAGAUUCACCUGGAAAAAACCACCUGGCUUUACCUGAGACCUCAGUGAGGUCAAGGGCAAGAACUCAGACAAGCAGAACUUUACUUUUUUUUUUUUCUUUUACUUUCUGUGAUCUCAGGAAUGAACCCAGGGCCUCGAGCAUGCUAGGGAAGUGCUCUUCCACUAAGCUAUAUUCCCAGUUCUCCCGCAGGACUUUAAAAUGUGCCCUAGUGAUGAUUCUUAGGUUUACUCUAAGAUUAGUUUAAUUGUUUUCUACUUUUAGUUUUCUUCUAAAAUUGUUCGGGGGCACUUAAAAAUACUACAGAUUCCUGGGCCCUGCCCUGGAUUUUUGAAUCUUAAGUCUCUAGGGGUGGGGCUUGGAAAUUUGUGUCUUUGAACAAGCUCCCCAGGUGAAAUUGAAACUGCUACCCUGGAGUCCUUGGGGAACCAGGAAUCUAAGGACCUCUCCGCCUCCCCCACUCUCCCCUCCCCUGUCAUAUUUUUAGCUGACUUUAACAAACAAAAAUGAUGCUUAAAAUUAUAUUUGCUUUUUCUUUUUGUUCACCAAUACAAAUUCUCUUGAGCUUUUUCUUUAAUGAAAUAAAAUAUCUAAUUAAUUUCACAAGGGAAAAAACUUUUCAUUUGUCACAGACAUAUGUUAAAGAACCUUUCUAGAAUUGAUAAAGUGUAUUUUUUUUUUUUUAGCAGGAGGAUUAGAUGUCACUUUGAGGAUCUAAGGGGUAAAUAGAAUUAGUUACUUGUGGGAAACUAAAAGGUCAAAAUUAUUUAAUCCUUGGAGGCAAUUGCACAACUGAAUGAGGCAAAAUGGUGUUUCAGAAACUAAGGUAUUGAAGGAGGCUAGGUUUUUGGCCUUAGUGUCUGUGUCCUAUCUCCUAUGAGCAUGCUGCCAUCUCCAAAUCUCUGUAGAGUGUAGAAAGAGCCUAAUUUAAAUGAUAAAUGGCAAAGACACAUAUUUGACCAAGAAUGGGCUUUGGGUUCUGGAUGACUUUGUAGGUGGAGUCUGGUUUGUUCUUGUGGUUUUGUGAUGCAAAAUUUCAAAAUUGGCUUUCAGCAAGUUCAAUCAGUUGCCCUCCAGGGAAAGGAGGGUGAAAGGCACCCAAAGGAGCCCUAGUCCCUUUGGUGUCCAGGACUCUAACCUGGGACUGAAUUCCUAGAGGUAGCUUGCAGGUCAGUGCCCUCCCGGAUGAAAGAUUAACUCCUCACUAGAGACCAGGAGGCAAAGCAAUUGGAUUUUUCAGGUUGGGGGAGUUUUGAGAGUAGUUUUACACAAGGUCUUUUACUGCAAUCUUCAUUCCUCCCACAGCCCAGGCAGCCUCCAUGAGACCCUGGAAGCUAGCGGUGGCUGGUGUAGGCUGCAGGCUGGGGGGCAGUGCCUGAAGAUGAAGCUGGGCUGUAGAAUUUCCUGGCAGCAUUUCCCAGGGUAGGGGUGGGGUUGCCCUCCCACCUGCCCAUGCCCCUGGACUUCUCUUCUCAUUCAGAGGGCACAGGGCUGACACCCGGGCUUGCAGGUUUUCCUCUGAUGGUGUUGUCUUAUCGUGGAUGUCUCCAGAUUACUACCUUACUUGGUGUUGUGUGUGUGGGGGACCAGGCCUAUUUAGCAGAUGCUCAUCUGCUGGCUUCAUUUGGAAACCCUGUCCCCCUCUAUGAAUAAUUGCAGUGGGUGGAGUGGUUUUGCCAGAAUGCCUGAAUGUGCCUGUAUCUGAUGUCAAAGGGCAGCUGGGUUUGACUGGUCACCUAUAAUUGUGUAAAACACUAUAGGUAAGGGAAAUCACAGAACCCCACAGCAAGGUUGAAUCUGGGGUUUAGAAAGUGAGUGCAUCAUACAGCGCUUUCAUUGGCUUAGGGUUUAAACCCUGGAUCCAUCCCACUGACUUCCAGUGCUCUGUGUGACUGUGGUAGAAAUAGUAGUGCCGAUGCCCCAGUUUUAUGGGUCUACCAGGCUGCCAACAAAGGACAAUCAAAGGCACACUGUCAGUAGAAGAUGGGGACCAGGGACCACGCAUCUCACCACUGAAGGAUGUACAUGGCAAUACAACUGCCUUUCCUAAGUGACUGUGAGUUACUGUAAGGAAGUUGAAGAAAAUGGUUCCAGAGGCCUAUGUCAAACCCUGUGUUCACGUAAAUCCCCACUUUGAGAAACAAGUUGCAGGAGAUCCCUAGUUGGCAUUCUCAGCAGGCUUCUUGCUUGUGGGCCAUUUAACAUGUAGGCACAGGUUUGUGGGUUCUGUUGGCCCAGGUAAAAGGGGCCCCAGCAGCUGAGUGUCCUGGAGGGAGACUGUUCUAAUUGUCUGUUGCCAUGAGCAGUUGGCACUGAGAGAAGCAGGAAUGGAGGUGUGGGCAGGAUUCCUAGCACAGGGCAGGUAAACUUUGAAGUGUCCUAGAAAUCAUUUUUGCCCAUCUCUGAUACUAUUUCUCUGACUAAUUUUUGGGUCUUGGCUUUAUGUACUUGCUGCUGAUUUGUGCUUCAACAGACCUCUGCUUGGGAGAAAAGGAGACAUUCCUUCUGAUAAGUCACCUGGUUGAUGACCUGGUCACCUUGACUCAGUUUCUCGUUGUUGCUGUGCGUGUGAGGUGUGUAUGCAUUCGAGGUAGAGAGAGAACAAGUUAUUUUCUGCUUGAGAUCAGGAAGACUCACUGCCAGGUAGCCUAGUAUUAAAAUAUUGCUGUUUUUGUUCCUUAAAUAUGUUAAACUUAAUUUUUGAUAGAUGGCUGGUUAAUUCUGUGAAAAAAAAAAUCUAGUCUUUCUUUCUGGCUAAAAUUUUCAUAUUGAUAUGGAUUUACUGAAAAACAUAAUUGACUGACAUAAAUAGACAUCAGAUUUCCUAUGGCAUUUAUUCACUAUGGAAUAUAAGGAUAUUAAAGUAUUUUGAGUUCCCUUUUUUUGGUUAUUGUUAUUUAGGAGAAAAACUUGAUAAUGUAUUCUAUGUUAGCCAUUCUCAAAUGAGAUUUAAUAAGCAUUCUAUAAGUUUUCUCAUCCGUCUAUGGCUUAAAACUCUAAAACUGUAGGAUAUUUUAUGUAAACUUUAUAGCUCAGUCUCCUCCCAUCCCGUUUUCUUGAGGUACUGAGUAAUGAAUCCUGAGGCAUUUUACAACAUCCCCAGCCCUCUUUUUUUUUAAUUUUUAUUUUUAAUUUAUUUUUUUUAAAUUUUGAGACAGGAUGUCUCUAAGUAACUAAGCCUGGCCUCUAACUUGUGAUCCUUCUGCCUUAGUAGUUAGGAUUCUCCCAAGUAGUUAGGAUUUACAGGAGUAUACUACAGCACUUGGCACUCCCCAGAUUUUGUAGAUUAAAAAUGUCUUUCUUUAUUUCCUUUGGGAUAGGAGAGAGUAAUUUAGGGAUGAAAUUAUCACUAAGACUUAAUAACAAAGAAUAGGUAGUCACUGAACAUACUUUGCCUAAAAAUAGUUUAUAUAAAUAAUUACUUAAAAAAAAUAAAACCUUCUUAGGUUGAUGUUAAAACUGCAAAUAUAAUUGAAGUCAUCAUAAUGUGUAAUACUGAAAUAAAUUUGGAGAUGAAAAAUAUGUGACUAGCCUUUGCUUGUAGUUGUUAAGCAUUACUGUAUGGAAAGCAGUUUUUUUUUGGGGGGGAGAGGGAUACCAGGAAUUGGACCUAGGGGCACUCAGCCACUGAGCCACAUCCCUAAUCCUCUUUUUAAUAUUUUAUUUUGAGACAGGAUCUCACUAACUUGUUCAGGGCUUUGCCAAAUUGCUGAGACUGGCUUUGUGACCCUCCUGCCUCAGUCUCUGGAGUGGCUAGGAUUAUAGGUGUGCCCCUCGCUGGGAGGCACUGUCUACAAAUGAGGAAACGAGGUCCCAUAGGUCCCAUGCCUGGGAUUGGUCAUAGGUGGGGGCAGGUGUAGACAGAUCUCACUGCUGGUCAGAUUUGGAUAUGCUGAAAUACUGGAGGAGGCAGUGAAUUCUGGUUGUAGACUGUUCCCCCACCAGUGCUGAUAUUGAACCUAGGGCCUCCUAUCUAAGUUAGGCAAGUGCACUACCUCUGAGCCACAUCUCUGGCCCUUGACUACAGAGGUGGAAAUGCCUUAACAGGAGUAGAAGGUAUCUGAACUAGUUGGGUGGGACUUGUUCAGGGAAAAGUGAAGAUAGAGUGUGCAGUACAGUAGGUGUAGGAAUCCAUGGUACUAAAGGGUGUAGGUUCAGGGUGGCUGGAGUGCAGGGUAUAAGAAGCCAAAGGCAGGACAUGAGUUUGCUCAGUGAAACAGGUGGAAAGAAGAUGUAUGGCAAUAUUUCAAUCCCAUUCAAGUCUCCUGAAAGCAGGACCCAGACUCUGCUCAUUUCAAGUUGAUGGGCUUUGUCUAACCCCAACUUUGGUGAUAAAUGCUUUUUCUGUCUGUUGGAAUUCAACAAUGAAAACAUCCUUAAUUGUACCCAGGGGCUCUCUACCACUGAGCUAUAUCCCCUUUUAUUUUUUUUGAGACAGGGUUUCACUAAAUUGCUGGGGCUAGCCUUGAACUUGCAAUCGUCCUGCCUCAGCCUCCUGAGUUACUGGGAUUACAGGUGUGUGCCACUGUGCCAGGCUUAAUUGAGAGUAUUUUGAUAAUUGACUUAGUAAGCUCCUGCUUGUUCCUUUCACAAAGAAGGUUUUUCUUUUCACGUCAGUGGAGAAAAAUGUUUCUCCAGUGUUGAUUAUAUGCACUGACCUCACGCAGAAAUUUUUCUCUCCAUGGGCAGAAUGGCUUGGGUGGCUGCCUGGGUCACUUCUUCUACUGGAAACAUAAGGCCUGGUGUGUUGGUGAGAAGAAAUAGGUUUCCUCACUUUUGUGUUUUUUAUUGUUACCAGUUGGGAUUACAGGUGCUUUAUAAGGUCUUAUGAAGAAAGCUUAGGCACUUUGUAGGCUAAUUAGGAAAAUUGCUUUUUAGAUUUUAUUUUCUGUAUGAACAUUUGCAUCCCAAAGAGGAAAUUAGAAAAUAUCCACUUUGGUCCUAUAGCUUACUAUUCAUUUCUUCCUGAAAAAAAGCAUUCAAUUUGGGCUGGGAUUGUGGCUCAGUGGUAGAGUGCUCGCCUAGCACGUGUGAGGCCCUGGGUUCGAUCUUCAGCACCACAUAAAAAUAAAAUAAGGUAUUGUGUCCAACUAUAACUAAAAAAUAAAUUUAAAAAAAUGCAUUCAAUUAGUAAUCAAAAUUAGGAAGGUUUUUUUUUUUUUUUUCUUAGCAAAUUUUUAUUUCACUUUCUUUCUUACGCUUUGGCAUAUCCUAGAUUUACCAGGGCAUUACGAUUUGUCACAAGAUAAAGACCCUUAAAGGGCUGAAAGGUAAAUUCAGGAAAGAUUUAGGUUGCACUGACAGUGUGAGUUGCUUUGCCUGGGCUGGGGCGGAAAAUUACUGCUUUACUCGUUGCUCUUUUGCAGUGCUGGGCAUUGAAUCCAGGGCCUCACACAUGCUAGGCAAGGGCUUUAACACUGAACUACUCUCCCAGCCCUGCUUUACUCUUUUUUUGUUGUUAUUUAAUUGAUACUGGGAAUUGAACUGAGGGGUGCUUAACCACUGAGCCACAUCCCUAACCCUUUUUUAUAUUUAGAGACAGGGUCUUGCUAAGUUGCCUAGGGCUUUGCUAAAUUGCUGAGGGGGCUUUGAAUUUCCUGCCUCAGUCUCCGGAAUCCUGGGAUUAUAUGUGUGUGCCACUAAGACGGUUCUGUUUCACUCUUCAUUUGAAUAUUCUGCAAAACUCUUUGGAGAAGCCAACCACUCCUGGAUUAGUCUUUUAUCAUCGACUCACUUAUAAGAUAGUAGGGAGGUGGGAAACUAGUUUCUAUCAAGUACCUUUUAUGUGCCAAAUGCUUUAGGUGCAUUUUUCUCUUUUAACCCUUCUUCUGAGUAAGGUACUGAUCAGGCCCAAGGACUGUGUCAAAUUAAGAGACAAUGCUUCCAUUUGGACCCAGGUCAGACUGAUGCAGAGUUAGCAUUGUUCCCACUAGAACAUAGAGAUUACUGUGAUCUUAAUGCAUCUCUUUGAAAUCUUUAGAGAGAAGAAAUAAUGUUUUCUUAAAAAAAUUUGACUAAUUUUGAUUACUAACUUCAGGAUCAAAUAUCCUCCCAGUAAAGCAGAUGGGAAAACAGUGACCAAGUAUGUAAAGCCCUUAAUACAAAUUUUCUUAUCAAUAUUAUACUUAGAAAUAAAAUGUAGUGUAGGACUAAGAAUAUGGCAGGUAGAUGAUAGGUGGAAAAAUGCUGUUUAUUAUUAGUAAAAUUAGUAAAAUUAUUAGUAUUAUUAAAUAGUAAAAAUUCUGUUGUCGAUGUACCUGAUAUGGUUAUAACAAGGUUCUUUUAAAAUACAAGAUUGCAAUAAUAACAUCCUCCUAGUGGUGUGAUUUAAAUUUAGACAUAAGUUUUGUAAUUUAGGCUAAGUUGUGUAACUUUUCAGAAUGUUUGAAUUGCCUUCAGUUUUUGUGGACUCAUUAAACAAGUAUUCCUUAACAGGCAAGUAUCCCUAACCCCCCGACCCCCCCCGCCCCCCCGCCACCCUUUCCAGAAUGUUAUGGUCCAAAACACUCUUUUCUAAAUGAAUAAUAACAGUAAAAAAAAAAAAAGAGUUAAAAAAUCAUUAAUCUCUGACAAGGGUCUGAGAAAGAGUUGCGGUUAGGUAUUAUUAUUGCCUCAUUUAUAAACCAGGAUCCCGAGUGACUCCAUAAGGUCACAAAACAAGCCCGUGUUGAAGCCGGGACUGGAACCGACGUCUCCUGCCUCCCAGUCCCCGUCCAGGGCUGUUACCCUUCCCUGGGAGUUGACCAGUCAUCACAGUUAUUAAUAUCCCACUUGCCACAUGCUACAAGCCAUGAACAUAAAUAUUUUUUUGGCAUUUUAUCUUCAUGCUCCUCGUGUGUCAGGCUCCCUUUCUGUCUCCAUUCACACCCCCUUCUAAAAACUCACAUUCCUGUUUGAACACAUUGGCCUUCACAUGAAAGUCACACGUCACCCUAGCAAGGAACGUUUCAGCAUGCAGGCUUUGUAUACUUUCAUUUUGAUCUCAAGGCUUUUUUUGGACGUGUGUGUGUGUGUGUACGCACAUGUACUAAGGAGAAUGAUAAGAAGUAGUAAUACAUUGUACCAUAUUAAUAGCUAAUGGCUUGGUCUAUAUGUUAGGAAACAGUAAAACUAUAUUGCUCUUUAGCUUGUAAUAUAAUAUAUAUGCUCCCCAGAUGUAACACAGAACUAUGGUUUAUAUAAGUGACUCAUUAUUACAAUUUGGAAGUCAGAGUACUAGGUAAGGAGUAAGUGUAAGCAGAAGUUAUUUGCCUUUUCAUUUGGCUUCAUCUCUGAUAUUCUUUUCUUUGAAACUUACAGAUUUUUAUUUUUAUUUUUUGCAGUUUCCCCCGCCUCUGUAAAAAUAUACAAAAUUGUCACAAAACAUGAAAUAAUGUUACGGGAAAACAUGACCAAAUUUAAGAAAUCUGGCUUAGGAUGCUCUGAAAUGUUAUUGCUAAAUGAAUCUUCGAAGAAAAUGAAUUCCCUUACUGGAACCAAAGUAAUUUAUUAUGCAUUUCAUGGGUGUCUGCCAAAAGAGUUACUAGCAAUAUGAAGAUCUAAUGGAUAUGAAUUAAGUACAAACUGGUAGCUCUCUUUACGUUUGGAGCUACCUGUUAAUUUUCUCUGAAACUUCAAUAAUUUAGAAAGGCACCUCCAGAGACAGGUGUUGUCAAUAGACAACACGUAGUUCAGCUGCUUACCAUAUGGGGCUUUAUCAAGGUCCAGUUCUCAGAAUUUUUGAGAACGAGCACCAAAAGGUUAUUUUGACCUCAGAAUUUUAAGAACCAUUUAAGCAAAUAAACAACAAGGCCUUGAUAUCCAUGUCGUGGUGGGGGUAAACAGAACCACAGGUGAGUAACUGCUGGGGUUUCACUGAUCACCAAUGGCUUGGUGGCGUGCUGUCUGCUUGGGUUGCUGGCAUCACAGGGUUUUACCUGAGCCAGGCCACACGCUCCAGAAUCUUAUUAUUAUUAUUUUUUUAAUUGAACACAAAGACUUUACGUUUAAAACACUCAAUAAAUUUAGUUGCUCGAUUUGUAGCGGUGCCUGUCUUGUGGCCUGAAGUUCAAUCUGGGGUCCGUGGAUUAGCUGCUGAAAGGAAACAGAUUCAGGCAGCCAGGAGAUAGCUCCGCCUCGGUCCGUGCCAUGAUAUGCCAUGAUAGCGAACUGCCAAGGUUUUCUGAAGCCUCUGUUUUCCUUCUAUGGCAGUGGGGGUAGGGAGGGGGUGGGGGGUGAGUAAUUCCUGUUCUCUGGCCCUUAGAAGUAUUGUGUGGUAUAAUCAGGAGAUGCCUUCAGACCUCUUUGAAGAGCAGAAAGAGUAGCACUACUUAAAUUUGAUCAUGAAUUAAUAGUGAAUUAAUCAUGAAUUAAUAAUGAUGUGUUUUAUUUGUAUGGCUUUUUUUUUUGUCAUCCCAAGACAUUAGAAAUAAAUCCUUACCUUCCUAAAGGAGAAAUUUAGAGAUGUAGAGUUACUGUGUUAAGAAGGAACCAUAUUUUAAAGCUUUUUAUUUCUCUGAUGCUUGGUACUCUCCCAAUGCUUUCUGUGGUGAGAGAGUGCUUUGUGAGUGCUACUUGGUCCUUUGACCAUGGUUGUGUUUUCUGUCAUUGUGAUGGGAAAGAUGAAAAUACUCAGCCAAUCUUCUGAAAAGCCAGCUUUGUUACAAAACUAAAGAUUAUAAUUCACCAGGUUGCCUCAGGAUUCUUGACCAUUUCAUUUGAGGACUAAAAUAAGAGUACUCCAUUCUGGUCAUUUCAGAAGAUAAGCCUUGAGCCGUGGGACAGACCCUCCCCCUGGCCAUCUAUCUAUAUUUGAACAUCAGCAUUUUGCUGAUAAUUACAGUGGACUGGUAAAUUUGGAGUGCCCCUAAUGCUUGCUAUUUUUUUUUUUGGUCUGGGUAUUGAACCUAGGGGUGCUUAACCACUGGACCUAUUUUCCCUCUAUCCAAACUGAAAUGAGCCUCAUUUUUGUAGUGGAAGUGAAGAUCUCCAUAAAAGCCUUGUCCCUGUGCUGGAAUUCAUAGGCAGCUUUUGAGGAAGGCAGCUAUAAAGCCCUGCAGGAGCCUAACAUCCCUAGCCCUUUUAAAAACAUUUUUAUUUACUAUAUUUUAUUUAGUGUCAGGGUCAGACUAAGUUGCUUGGGGCCUCACUAAGUUGCUGCGGCUGGCUUGUCACUUGCAAUCCUCCUGUCUCAGCCUCCCAAGCCACUGGGAUUACAGGCGUGCAACACAGUGCCUGGUCAUCCUUGCUGUCUGAGUGUGCACACGUGCAUAAAACACUCUGUUCCUUUGCCCAGAACGACUUGUGGGUAAAGCGUCGAGCCCCCCUCCUUGAAAAGGGGCACCAUCCUGUGGCCGAGAUAUAACUUGGCCCCGGGGGUGAAGGGCAGCCAGAGAAAUCCCCAGUAAGGAAUCUGCUAAACUACAAAAACAUCAUGAAACUGUUCUGCUGAAAACUGAGUCACAUCAUCAGCUAAAGGUGUCAGAUUCUUUUGUGAGAAAAGGUGCUCAAGUUCUCUUCCUUUAUUCAACUGUAAUGGGAGAAUCCGAGGAUCUUGUUGUGAUUGACGAUUUUCACAUGUCCUUAUUCCUGUAGCUUUCCUGUUACAUCUGUGUCUGGACCUGUUUCCCCCUCAUCCAUAGAAACUGAAAUGAGCCUCAUUUUUGUAGUGGAAGUGAAGAUUUCCACGGAAGUGUUCCCCUCUGCUGGAAUUCACACGAAGCUUUUAUUUUGAGGAAGGCCGCAGGAGUCUAACCUAGAGGUUACAAAAGCAGAGGAGAUUUGUCUGGCAGGCAGGGAUGACUGGCUUCCCCUCCCACCAAAAAAACCUGUGGGCUGGGGGUGUAGCUCAGUGAAGGGUGCUUCUCCCAGCACGCACAAGGCCCAGGGCUUGAUUCCCAGCACAAGGAAAAAGCUAGAACCUCAAACUCACUUAGAUCCGUGUAAGAAGGGCCAUUUAGUGGCCAUAGCCUGCUGGGAGUUCUGGAGGCAGUGUGAUCUCCAUCAGGGUCUUAGCCCUGAGAAUGACCACACACUUACCUGUACACAAGCCGGAGAACCCACUUUAUCCUUCUGGAAAGGAUAUGCCUGUAAAAAAAGAAGAGGGCCUACGGUUUCCCUUUUCUGUCUCUAUGAAUCCCCACAGAGGCCGAACUUCAGUCCAUCUUUCAGGGAGAAGUCAAGGAAAAGAAAGAGGAAUAAUAUUGUUGAGUAGCCUGUUAGAAACAUUUUUUUGGGGUACCAGGGAUUGAACUCAGGGGCACUCAACCACUGAGCCACAUCCCCAGUCGUAUUUUGUAUUUUAUUUAGAGACUGAGGCUGGCUUUGAACUCACAAUCCUCCUUGCCUCAGCCUCUGGAGCCGCUUGGAUUACAGGCAGGAGCCAGAAACUUUUUUAAUAUUUAUUUUUUAGUUCUAGGUGGACCCAAUAUCUUUAUAUUUAUGUGGUGCUGAGGAUCAAACCCAGGGCCUCACGCAUGCUAGGCAAGCACUCUACCUCUGAGCCACAUCCCCAGCCCAACCAGAAACUUCUGUUGGACUUUUAACUACAUGUGUAUCAAAUCAGAAGUUUGCUUUUUAGAGAAGUGUCCAAAGUCAGUGAAGGCUUAUUCUCAUAGGAGGCAAUCUGGGUGACCUACAGAUAACUGUGCCUGCUUCACAGGCUGGGGCAUAUUUUCCCAAUCUAUAGCAGCCCAGCUUCUCCCUGGAGUCAUUUCUUCCUUUGGGAGGGAGUUUUCCAGCCCAGUGGCGCUGCCUGUCUCCCACCUACCCUGGCCUGCAUGCAGUGCUAAGCCCAGGCUGGGUCUGGUGCUGAUAACACAUUCUUUCAACAGGAAGUGCCUCCAUUUUCAGUUGUCUGUGGGAGGGUGGAGGGCAGAUAAGCUGUGAAUGGAAACACAGAACAGAUUUCUGCUCCACCCUCAUAUUGCACUUUGAUCGGGAGGGAGCAAGGCCCUCUGCCUGGCCCGAGCUGCCUGCCCAGCCUCGGGAGGAAGGAUGGGUCAGCUGCUGGGCAUUCUGUAGAGCUCUUCUCUACUUUUGUUCAGGAACAUUUGUUUAGGUCUGAUUAGGUUUGUGGUGUGUCUGCUUUUGCUAUGUUGAGAUGUCUGCCAUCUGAAGUCCUUUGAAGGGUUUAAUUAGAUGUGGAAAAACACUGACCAACUGAAAUUCUUACAUUGUUUUUUUUUUUUUUUACUGUGUGUGUGUGUGUGUGUGUGUGCGCGCGCGCAUGCAUGCAUUUGUGUGUACGUGUACUGGCUGCAGAGCAUAACGAGCCAGGUUUCUUCAGGAGAGUUGCUGUAGUAACAUAGACCAGUUCUGAUCCCAUGUUCCUCUGAUGCAUGGAUGUAGUGUUUUCCGUGUUUUGACUUGGCUGCAGUGUGUUUCACAUGUGCAUACUUAGCCAGUUCCCACAUGGAGAGAUUUCAGGGGUUCCUGGGGCAGCUUCUGUCACUCCAUUCCCUCUGUGAGUCCCCUCACUCUGAUUCUUCCCUAGUUUUUCAAGUUAGUUUAUGACCCUGCCCUGGUUGGGUUGACCCUUAAGUGCUUAUGCAUAUUUCUGGUACGAAUAUCAUUUAAUUUUCCCUGAAGUUAGAUUGUCUUAGCUGCAUGUGAUAGUACAUGCCUAAAUCCCAGCAAGUCAGAAGGCUGAGGCAGGAGGAUUGCAAGUUUGAGGCCAGCCUCAGCAAUUUACAAAGCCUGAAGCAAUUUAGUGAGACUCCUGACUCAGAAUAAAGAAAAUAAAAAGUACUGGCGAUGUAGCUCAGUGCCUUGGUACAAAAACAAACAAACAAACAAAAAAACCCAAACAAACAAGCAAAACAAAAACAACAAAAAAAACCUCCAAGAUAAGGUAAGCUGUAGAUUUGGCUCCCUAGUUGUUGUGCCUCCCGCUGCUCAGCCUCUAGAGCCGCUGGGAUUACAGGCUCCUGGCACUGCUGCUCAUGGAUUCCCUUGUAGUACUUGACGCUUGUGCAUGGGACAAAGAAUUCAUAUCCUGCUGUUUUUCAUUUAACAUUCUAUGAUUGGAUUUUUCCAUUUUGUUACAUGAUCUUAUUAUUUUUAAUAAUUGCAUAAUCGUUCAUUGAGAGUGUACCCUGCUUUUCCAAAUCAUUUCCAUGUUAUUAGACAUUAGAUUGUGUCCAUGGCUUCCACUACCAGGAGAAGCCUGGCAGUGGCUGGCUUCCUUUGUGGAGAUUUUCCUUUCUCUUAAAUGAUUUCCUUAUAAGGGAUUUCCAUAAGUGAAGUUACAGGGUUAAGCCGUGUUUAACUUCUUGAUGGCCCUGGGCACUACUGCUAACUGCCACCCUCUGUAAGGCUUGUACCAGACUCUAUAGCCCCACUAGCUAUGGACAAGGGGACUGGGGUACUCACCUUACAGUAAUAUUUCACAUUUAAAUAUUAUUAUAUCAUCAUUUUAAGGUUAUCAAGUCAUGGACACAAGUUCUCUUUCCAUUUUCCCCCCCAAUUCUGGGCAUCCAACCCAGGGCCUUGAGCGUGCUAGAAAAACUCUCUACCACUGAGCUAUAGCCCCAGAGAUCACUCACAUAAUUUGUGGUUUGUUGGCCCAUUGACCAUAUGUCUGACCAUGGUUCUGCUGUAGAGCUUAACUUUUAAUCUGAAGAAAGAAAACAGUAGUUAUUUCAACAGGUGGCUUUUGGGAUAGUUGCUUAGGUGAAAGAAUAAUAUCCUAUGUUAAUAAGGGCUUUAUACGUCAGGUAUUUAGCUCAUUCUUGUAACGACCUUAUAAUGUAGGGCCUCUUAUUUCCAUUUUGUGAGGGCACUGAGGCACAGAAUGCUUGAUGCCAGUCCUGCUCAGUUACCUCUCCGACCUGAUCACUUUCCAUGUCCUUGCUGAACCCUUCUGUUCCAGCUGGCUUCUCUGCUGAAUAGGCCAGGUGCCCGCUGCCCCACAUCCUGCAUGUCCUCUUAUUAGAACAAUCUUUCUCACCAGUCACAUUAACUUCCUCUUUGGCUUGUUCAGCACAAUAGGGAUCCUGCUGAGGAUGUCACAAACAUGAGCUCAGUUAAUUGCUGCAGUCAUACCUGUGGCAGGUAACACGAGGACCCACAUGUAGAGGAGGCUGCUGCAGGAGGGGACUGCACUCAGCAGGUGACCUAUCCAGGGCAUGACUUUGGAGCUCAGGUUCAUUGCCUUCGCCCAUCACGGAGGAAGCCUCUGCAGUUCCUUUUCUGACUCUUGUGCUACUACUUCCUUGUCUUAGUGACUCACUGGCCACGAUAGGCCACUGAGUGGUCUUGCUCUGUCUAGUGUGGAAGUGUCCUGGCUCUCCCCGAAGCCAGGAGCUCCUAGUUCAAGUGCAGGGCUCUCAGUGAGGGCUUUGCUAACAGUGUUCCUGGUUGCUGACUGUGUGGUGAAGUCAGCCCUCUACUGUCUUAGUACCUCUGGCUGUUUCUGGUGGGCUACUUCCAAAAUAGCACUUGCAGUCAUUUAGUCAGAGACCUGCAGAUGUGCUUUUAUGGAAGAGGUAGAUCUAUGCAAGGCUGGGUCUGACAUCAAUCAUUAUAAGGGAAUUUGCUUUCUUUUAAUCCAUAGUUCCCUUUUUUUUUUUUUUUAAUAGUACUAGUACCAACGCAGGAAAAGUGCUCUCCAGACAAGCUACAUCCCCAGCCCUUUCUUUUCUUUUUCUUUUUUUCUAUUUUGAGACAGGGUCUCUCUAAAUUGCCCAGGAUGACCUCAAACUUGCUAUUCUCCUGCAUCACUCUCCCAUGUUGCUGGGAUUACAGGCAUGCACCACUGUGCCCGGCUUGAUAGUUCCUUUUAAAAACAAACCAUUCUUUUGUAAUUGAAUAUCAUCCUUUGGUUUAUUUCUUUGGGGGUUAAAUCUGGUCCUGCAUUGGAUUUGCUCAUAGUGGGAGAUUCUGGAAUUAAGAGCUAACAUUAAUCAUGUUUAUAAGUAUAACCAAAUCCUGUGGGUUCUGUUUGUUUGACAGGAUUUUGCAGUUAUUUCAAAGUUUUUGCAAGAAUCUAUUUUAAAUUUCAGACAUCUCAAUAACUUGGUGAAAAUCUCCUUUUUUCAUGAAUCCAAAGCCCUUGCUCAGUUUUUGUUUCUACAUUUGUGUUAUUUAAAGUUUGGGUGUGGGGUACCAUUGUUCUUAAUUUUCAUAAACCCUAGUUUUGCUAGGAAAGGGGAGGAUCAAUUGGUACCUGUGGAGGACGUUUGGGUGGGCAUAGAGCGAGUUGGGGGACUAGAACUGCCAGGCUUCUCUCCUACACUGUGCCUCUGCUUCAUAGAGGUGUUGUGAGAAGCAAAAAGCCAACCAGAUCUUGCUUGGAAAAAGGAGUCCAGUAGGACUACAUUUGCUUCUUAGGCACGAAGGCUCAUCCCAAGUGCAUUAUUCAGCUCUCCCGUGUCUGGUGUUCUGGGUUUCUCUGAAGUGGUUGUAACAAUCAGGUAGCAGAGAAAUCUGUUUGCAGGAUUUAAUUGGAUUAUGUAUGCAAAAAUGUAAAAAAAAGUUCGAAAAGUGAAUGAAACAUUCUAUUUGUCUAAUAAAUAUUCUAUAAGGUAUGAAACGGAACCCUAAAAACUUGGAAGCAAAUUAGGAGCUUCUGAGCACUUAGAAGGAAAAAUAUGUGAUUAAAAAGUACAUAGUUCUGGCUAGAUUUUUGAGAAACUCUUUCAAAUGCAACUGUUUCUCAAACUGCAGCCUAAACCGAUUCCAGUUAUUUUGGUUUGAUUUUACUCAAUUAUGGAAUGUUUAAUAUUUGGCUCUUCUCUAUUGGAUGGGAGGAAUGAAUGAAAUGGGAAAGGUGAACUUUUGCCUCAAGAAAUAAUGGCCGUACUCAUGACAGAUAGAGGAUGUUAGCAUUUUCUUUACGACGUGGUCUGCUGCAAAUAUGGCCUGUUCUUGUAAAGACUUAAGGUAAAUGAGGUCGAUAUUAAAAUCUGUCUAUGCAUGGGUUUAUUUCCAUGAAGUCAGUGCACAAAAAUUUCAUGUAUCAGGGAAUGUUGAGCUGUGUAGCUUUCCUUUUUAGACUUUGACAUAAUCUCUGUGUGUGUGUGUGUGUAUGUAUGUGUGUGUCUCUGUGUCCUCAGUGCUCUGCAUUUUGUCUUUCAAAGUGAUUAGAUUGUGUGAGCAUCAUUUAGGCCAUGCAGUGUUUACCUGUGUGGUUUGGUUUGUUUCACUGUCAGAGAUCUUUGAGUUUGGCACGUUUAUAAAUAGGAUUCCUUCAGUUCCCCUUUUCCUUGCCUAGUUCUGCAGCUUGCUGAGUGGUUAGUUACUGAGUGCUCUGAAGUGAACAGGAUCAAAGCUUAAGUUGCCAGGGUCAGGUCAUUGGCACAGUGAAGCAUCUUGUGACAUGGUGACAAGCUCCUGCUUGUUCCGGGUAGGGAUGAGAGAGGCAGACUUUCUUUCUUUGUCCUGGGAUGCUCCCGAGAACAGCCCUCAUCCUGGCUGCAAUGACUUCUCCUUUGUUUUGUUUUCUUACUUUUUUUUUGGGGGGGGGGAAUAAAUUGAACCCAGGAUCCUUAACUACUGAGCCACAUCCCUACCUCUUUUAAUUUUUUAUUUUUGAGACAGGGCCUCGCCAAGUUGCUGAGGCUGGCCUGGAUCCUCCUGCCUCAGCCUCCCUGGAAUUACCCUGCUCAUAGGUGUUGAACUAGCAGGAUUGGGCCAGCUGACAAAGUGAUGCAUAAUAACCAUUUCUCCUUCUCUCUGUCCCCCUGUUUUGCCAGGCGGGUGCCCCAGUGAUGUCUGGUGCAGGAGAGGGCACCAACCCUGAGAACAGCGAGCUCAAGUAUUCAGGUCAAGAUGGGCUCUACAUAGGCGUCAGUCUGGCCUCGCCAGCCGAAGUCACAUCCUCAGUGCGACAGGAUUCCUGGUGUGCUCUGGCCCUGGCCUGAGCCCCUCCCGCCAAGAGGCAGGGAGGGCUCCACCGAAGUCCUUGCAUCUCUUAUGUCUGAUUUUUGUCCAGCAGCCCAGAUGGUGACAACGAUGCAGACAGAACAUUCCUCCAAUGUGUGAUUUCUGUGCCUUUGUUUUGAAAGAGAUAUAUUUCCCCAUGAAGCUUGCUAAAAGAAUAGAAGAUGCGACUCUUCCAGGGAAGGGCUGGUGCAGCAGGAAUAUGGCCUGCUUCUUCUAGCCAGGGCCACCUCCAGCCAGCCUUUCUUUGGGUCAGCUCCUGCGUAGUUUGCAAAAACUGGGACGAGGGCCAGGGCCUUGCCUGCUAAGGAAGAUGGACAGAGAGUCUUGAAAACAAGGUUUUACGUGCAUUGCCCCCAUGUGUUUCUUCUAAUCGAUUUUGGUUAUUCCAGAAUUUAUUCAUACCCGUUCCACACGCAGAUUUCACAAAUGUUCAUGGAGAAGAUCAUUGGAGGCCAUUUGGUACACAUCCUGGAGGCUGAGUGGGUUCCUGGAACUCUUUGUCAAAAUUCCUCAAUUUGCAAGGCUGCAUAGUAAACUCUAAUGUACACUGUGACUGACAUUUCUCGAAGUUCAUCUUGUGUGACUGAUCUGAGGUCAGUCGGAAUUUGUAAACAGGGUAGCAAACAAGAUAUUUUUCUUCCAUGUAUACAAUAAUUUUUUUAAAAUGUGCAAUUUGCGUUGCAGCAAUCAGUGUUAAAUCAUUUGCAUAAGAUUUAACAGCAUUUUUAUAAUGAAUGUAAACAUUUUAACUUAAUGGUACUUAAAAUAAUUUAAAAGAAAAAUGUUAACUUAGACAUUCUUAUGCUUCUUGUACAUCCACAUCCCAUUUCUAUAUUCCCAAUAGAAAAACUAUUUCAAGAACAAAUCUUCUCUCAGGAAAAUUUGCCUUUCUCCAUUUGUUAAGAAUUUUUAUACAAGAACACCUACAUACACCCUUUCUUUUACUGUGGAAUACGUGCUGGAAAAAAUUGCAACAAAACUUUACUACCUAACAAAUAGCAUUUGUAAAUAUUCUAGGCAUCUGUAAACACUCUGAUGAAGUCUGUAUAGUGUGACUAACCCACAGGUUGGUUUACAUUAAUUUUUUUAAAAAAUGGGAUGUCAUAUUGAAAACUAUUUCACCAGAGUUUAAAAAAAAAAAUAAAAGGGUAUUGUUUUUGUCCUGUACAGCGAGUACUUUCCCUUUUACUUCAUUUGGAU
rnacentral:lncRNA from 1 species